GAGAACUCCAGGGUAAAGACGGGCCUUUUAAACUGAACUGCAUUAGAGAGAACUCCAGGGUAGAGACGGGUCUUGUAAACUGAACUGUAUUAGAGAGAACUCCAGGGUAGAGACGGGUCUUGUAAACUGAACUGUAUUAGAGAGAACUCCAGGGUAGAGAAGGGUCUUGUAAACUGAACUGUAUUAGAGAGAACUCCAGGGUAGAGACGGGUCUUGUAAACUGAACUGCAUUAGAGAGAACUCCAGGGUAGAGACGGGUCUUGUAAACUGAACUGUAUUAGAGAGAACUCCAGGGUAGAGACGGGUCUUGUAAACUGAACUGUAUUAGAGAGAACUCCAGGGUAGACAAGGGUCUUGUAAACUGAACUGUAUUAGAGAGAACUCCAGGGUAGAGACGGGCCUUGUAAACUGAACUGUAUUAGAGAGAACUCCAGGGUAGAGACGGGUCUUGUAAACUGAACUGUAUUAGAGAGAACUCCAGGGUAGACAAGGGUCUUGUAAACUGAACUGUAUUAGAGAGAACUCCAGGGUAGAGACGGGCCUUGUAAACUGAACUGUAUUAGAGAGAACUCCAGGGUAAAGACGGGCCUUGUAAACUGAACUGCAUUAGAGAGAACUCCAGGGUAGAGACGGGUCUUGUAAACUGAACUGUAUUAGAGAGAACUCCAGGGUAGAGACGGGUCUUGUAAACUGAACUGUAUUAGAGAGAACUCCAGGGUAGAGAAGGGUCUUGUAAACUGAACUGUAUUAGAGAGAACUCCAGGGUAGAGGCGGGUCUUGUAAACUGAACUGCAUUAGAGAGAACUCCAGGGUAGAGACGGGUCUUGUAAACUGAACUGCAUUAGAGAGAACUCCAGGGUAGAGACGGGUCUUGUAAACUGAACUGUAUUAGAGAGAACUCCAGGGUCGAGACGGGCCUUGUAAACUGAACUGUAUUAGAGAGAACUCCAGGGAGAGACAGGUCUUGUAAACUGAACUGCAUUAGAGAGAACUCCAGGGUAGAGACGGGCCUUGUAAACUGAACUGUAUUAGAGAGAACUCCAGGGUAGAGACGGGUCUUGUAAACUGAACUGUAUUAGAGAGAACUCCAGGGUAGACAAGGGUCUUGUAAACUGAACUGUAUUAGAGAGAACUCCAGGGUAGAGACGGGUCUUGUAAACUGAACUGUAUUAGAGAGAACUCCAGGGUAGAGACGGGUCUUGUAAACCGAACUGUAUUAGAGAGAACUCCAGGGUAGAGACGGGCCUUGUAAACUGAACUGUAUCAGAGAGAACUCCAGGGUAGAGACGGGUCUUGUAAACUGAACUGUAUUAGAGAGAACUCCAGGGUAGAGACGGGUCUUUUAAACUGAACUGUAUUAGAGAGAACUCCAGGGUAGAGACAGGUCUUGUAAACUGAACUGUAUUAGAGAGAACUCCAGGGUAGAGACGGGUCUUGUAAACUGAACUGUAUUAGAGAGAACUCCAGGGUAGAGACGGGUCUUGUAAACUGAACUGUAUUAGAGAGAACUCCAGGGUAGAGACGGGUCUUGUAAACCGAACUGUAUUAGAGAGAACUCCAGGGUAGAGAAGGGUCUUGUAAACUGAACUGCAUUAGAGAGAACUCCAGGAUAGAGACGGGCCUUGUAAACUGAACUGCAUUAGAGAGAACUCCAGGGUAGAGACGGGUCUUGUAAACUGAACUGCAUUAGAGAGAACUCCAGGGUAGAGACGGGUCUUGUAAACCGAACUGUAUUAGAGAGAACUCCAGGGUAGAGAAGGGUCUUGUAAACUGAACUGCAUUAGAGAGAACUCCAGGGUAGAGACAGGUCUUGUAAACUGAACUGUAUUAGAGAGAACUCCAGGGUAGAGACGGGUCUUGUAAACUGAACUGCAUUAGAGAGAACUCCAGGGUAGACAAGGGUCUUGUAAACUGAACUGUAUUAGAGAGAACUCCAGGGUAGACAAGGGUCUUGUAAACUGAACUGUAUUAGAGAGAACUCCAGGGUAGACAAGGGUCUUGUAAACUGAACUGUAUUAGAGAGAACUCCAGGGUAGAGACGGGCCUUGUAAACUGAACUGCAUUAGAGAGAACUCCAGGGUAGACAAGGGUCUUGUAAACUGAACUGUAUUAGAGAGAACUCCAGGGUAGAGACGGGUCUUGUAAACUGAACUGCAUUAGAGAGAACUCCAGGGUAGAGACGGGUCUUGUAAACUGAACUGUAUUAGAGAGAACUCCAGGGUAGACAAGGGUCUUGUAAACUGAACUGUAUUAGAGAGAACUCCAGGGUAGAGACGGGUCUUGUAAACUGAACUGCAUUAGAGAGAACUCCAGGGUAGACAAGGGUCUUGUAAACUGAACUGUAUUAGAGAGAACUCCAGGGUAGACAAGGGUCUUGUAAACUGAACUGUAUUAGAGAGAACUCCAGGGUAGACAAGGGUCUUGUAAACUGAACUGUAUUAGAGAGAACUCCAGGGUAGAGACGGGCCUUGUAAACUGAACUGCAUUAGAGAGAACUCCAGGGUAGACAAGGGUCUUGUAAACUGAACUGUAUUAGAGAGAACUCCAGGGUAGAGACGGGUCUUGUAAACUGAACUGCAUUAGAGAGAACUCCAGGGUAGACAAGGGUCUUGUAAACUGAACUGUAUUAGAGAGAACUCCAGGGUAGACAAGGGUCUUGUAAACUGAACUGUAUUAGAGAGAACUCCAGGGUAGACAAGGGUCUUGUAAACUGAACUGUAUUAGAGAGAACUCCAGGGUAGAGACGGGCCUUGUAAACUGAACUGCAUUAGAGAGAACUCCAGGGUAGACAAGGGUCUUGUAAACUGAACUGUAUUAGAGAGAACUCCAGGGUAGAGACGGGUCUUGUAAACUGAACUGCAUUAGAGAGAACUCCAGGGUAGAGACGGGUCUUGUAAACUGAACUGUAUUAGAGAGAACUCCAGGGUAGACAAGGGUCUUGUAAACUGAACUGUAUUAGAGAGAACUCCAGGGUAGAGACGGGUCUUGUAAACUGAACUGCAUUAGAGAGAACUCCAGGGUAGAGACGGGUCUUGUAAACUGAACUGUAGUAGAGAGAACUCCAGGGUAGAGACGGGUCUUGUAAACUGAACUGUAUUAGAGAGAACUCCAGGGUAGAGACGGGUCUUGUAAACUGAACUGUAUUAGAGAGAACUCCAGGGUAGAGACGGGUCUUGUAAACUGAACUGCAUUAGAGAGAACUCCAGGGUAGAGACGGGUCUUGUAAACUGAACUGUAUUAGAGAGAACUCCAGGGUAGAGACGGGUCUUGUAAACUGAACUGCAUUAGAGAGAACUCCAGGGUAGAGACGGGUCUUGUAAACUGAACUGUAUUAGAGAGAACUCCAGGGUCGAGACGGGCCUUGUAAACUGAACUGUAUUAGAGAGAACUCCAGGGUCGAGACGGGUCUUGUAAACUGAAUGUCUGAAAUGUCACUGUAUUUCCUAUAUUGAAUUGGAAUAGGGUGCUGGCUGGUUCUGACCAAAACCAGUACUUGGGAAUAGGUCGAUGGCUCUGACCAAAAGUAUUGCACUAUCUUGGGAAUAGGGUGUUGGCUAUUUGCCCUCUGAUUCAGACACUUCUACAGUAUGUGUCUCUGUCUUGUGUAUCAGUGUCUGUCAGGAAUGUGAAGAGAUGGUUUAAGAGGGUAGAGAGAGUAGGAGGGCCUCAUACAGCAUGUGUAGCAAUCACAAAAUGUUUUGUGAAGGGUGGGGUAGGAGGGAGGGAGGGUAGUUUGACCUGGUUUGACUGCUCGUACCAGUCACUAUGAGGAGACAUACAUCUCUUGUAAUAUUUCUAGUACUUGUGUAACUUCAGAACAGGGGCACAAAUGUAUGGGAGGGCAACAUCUGUUUUCAUUUUUUCAAAUCUUGUUCAUCAGUUUUUUGCUUUAAGAGUGACUGUCUAAUUGAAUCUUUGCUGAUUCCUUGAUUUUAACAAUUACUCUUCUCU